AUCGAACGCUGGCGGCAGGCCUAACACAUGCAAGUCGAACGAGUGGCGGACGGGUGAGUAAUGUCUGGGAAACUGCCUGAGGGAGGGGGAUAACGACUGGCAACGGGAGAUAAUACCGCAUACCAUCAGAUGUGCCCAGAUGGGAUUAGCUAGUUGGUGGGGUAAUGGCUCACCUAGGCGACGAUCCCUAGCUGGUCUGAGAGGAUGACCAGCCACACUGGAACUGAGACACGGUCCAGACUCCUACGGGAGGUAGCAGUGGGGAAUAUUGCACAAUGGGCGCAAGCCUGAUGCAGCCAUGCCGCGUGUGUGAAGAAGGCCUUCGGGUUGUAAAGCACUUUCAGCUAGGAGGCGUUACUCGCAGAAGAAGCACCGGCUAACUCCGUGCCAGCAGCCGCGGUAAUAC
rnacentral:rRNA from 1 species